CUGCUUUGAAAUUUGUUGCCGAUUGCAGAAUUUUGUCACAGGCCUUAAAAUAUCUUUUACAGGGUCGUCUGACAAAAUGUCCGGUGACGUUGAGUUUGGGUCGGACAUAUGUCCGAUGACCUUCAGUUCAGUUUUGACUCGGAAAUAAGUCUGAGUGCCGGCACAAAUGAAUAAACGGUAAAUGUAGUAAAGAUGUUAAAUACUUUGUUUCUUUCGUACUUAUUUCCAAGCCAAAAUUACGUGAUGACAUUGUUUACAACAGAAUAACUUCAAGGAAAAACUGCCCAGAUUGGUCGGAUCGUUUAGAGAUCAUCGCACUCGAACUUGAGCUGUUAAAUUCAAAGAAAUCUCUAGUGUGUGUUUGUGAUCGACCACCUAGUUGCGAAUUAGACGAAUGGCUCGAAUCGUUCACUACAUUUCUGCAGGAAACAUCACACUACGAUAAAGUCCUUAUCACCGGUGACUUCAACUUCCCAGAUUUAACUUGGAACUCCAGCCUGGUGCCUACCAAAUCAGAAAGAAGUAUCUCGGCAGGAUCAUCUGAAUUUAGAGAACUUGCGUUUGAUUUUUUCUUCCACCAAGUCAGCAUGUGCCCUACUAGACAAAACAACAUUCUAGACCUCGUCCUAACGAACGCUCCUGAAAACAUUGUCAAUCUCUCGUGCGUUCCCGCCAAAACAAUGGAUCUCUCAAGUGACCACAACCUGAUGUUCUUUGACAUCUUACUUCAUAUUAAAUCAACAGGUUUUGACAAGAGAACUGUUUUUGAUUUCCAUCAUGCAGACUGGAACGGCCUAUACCACGCCCUUAACCACAUCAAUUUAUCACCCAACGAGUCGAAUGAUAUCAACAAAGAUUGGAAGCGAUGUAAAGACCUCUUCCUUGGUGCCGCGGCUGAUUAUAUUCCACUCAAAACCUUCAAACGGCGUAGCUCUCCUCCAUGGAUUGACGGUGAAGUCAGGCGUCUUCUCUCAAAGAAAGACUCGUGUAGAAAAAAGGCGAAACUUUCCUCAUCUGCUAAUCUCUGGGGAAAAUUCCGUGAUCUUCGACGUGCGGUCAAGACAUUAAUUAGUAAGAACCAAGCGAAUAGAGUACUUCCAGAAACUUCCAACUUUGCUAAAAUCGAGCAGUAAAAAGUUCUGGUCUGUCUUCAAAUCUACCUCGAAACAUUCUAACAUUCCCAGUAAAAUGUCGUGGACCCAACAAGAUUCAACUUCCUCCACAGCUGAAAACCCUGCCGACAUUGUCGACCUGUUAAACCGUUACUUCUACUCGGUGUUCAAACAUUCCGAUACUACUGACGACCAUUCCCCUUCUGUUGCUCCUGAUAACGACACGACUGAUCUUACCACCAUCGCAAACAUCUUGUUAACAGAAGAGGAAGUACGUGUUGUACUCAAAGCACUGGAUGAAGCCAAAGCUAGUGGCCCCGACAAAAUCCCAGCGUUACUGCCGAAGAACUGUGCAGUUAACAUCAGUUCAUCUCUAUGCCAGCUGUUCAAAAAGAGCUUAUCUUGUGGAAUUCUGCCGUCCGAAUGGAAGCUGGCCAACAUCAGUCCAAUUCCAAAAAGGAACCCUAUUCAUGACGUAACCAACUACAGACCAAUAUCACUGUUGUCAUUAGUCUUGAAAGUGUUUGAACGCUGUAUAUAUAAUAGACUUAUAGAACACGUAUACGGUCAAAUUUACGAACUGCAGUACGGUUUUUCAGGGGAAGAUCUACAACAUCGCAGCUGCUACACAUUCUCCAUCA
rnacentral:lncRNA from 1 species